AUAACGGUCCUAAGGUAGCGAAAUUCCUUGUCGGGUAAGUUCCGACCCGCACGAAUGGCGUAAUGAUUUGGGCGCUGUCUCAACAGUGGACCCGGCGAAAUUGUAGUAUAUGUGAAGAUGCAUAUUACCCGCGACUGGACGGAAAGACCCCGUAGAGCUUUACUGUAACUUGAUAUUGGAUUUCGGUAAUUGAUGUACAGGAUAGGUGGGAGACUGAGAAGCAAAGGCGUCAGCUUUUGUGGAGUCGCCCUUUGGAUACCACCCUUUGAUUAUUGGAAUUCUAACCUUGUGCCGUUAUCCGGGCAAGGGACAAUGUCAGGUGGACAGUUUGACUGGGGCGGUCGCCUCCUAAAGAGUAACGGAGGCGUUCAAAGGUUCCCUCAGAACGGUUGGAAAUCGUUCGUAGAGUGUAAAGGUAUAAGGGAGCUUGACUGAGAGACAGACAUGUCGACCAGAUACGAAAGUAGGACUUAGUGAUCCGGCGGUAGAGAAUGGAAUUGCCGUCGCUUAACGGAUAAAAGUUACCUCGGGGAUAACAGGCUUAUCUCCCCCAAGAGUUCACAUCGACGGGGAGGUUUGGCACCUCGAUGUCGGCUCAUCGCAUCCUGGGGCUGAAGUAGGUCCCAAGGGUUGGGCUGUUCGCCCAUUAAAGCGGUACGCGAGCUGGGUUCAGAACGUCGUGAGACAGUUCGGUCCCUAUCCGUUGUGGGCGCAGGAUAUUUGAGAGGAGCUGUUCUUAGUACGAGAGGACCGGAAUGGACAUACCACUGGUGUACCAGUUGCAUACCAAGUGCACAGCUGGGUAGCUAAGUAUGGACGGGAUAAACGCUGAAGGCAUCUAAGCGUGAAGCCUCCCUCAAGAUAAGAUAUCCCAAAGCGCAAGUGAGUAAGGUCCCUUGAAGACGACGAGGUAGAUAGGUUGGAGGUGUAAGUAUAGUAAUGUAUUAAGCUGACCAAUACUAAUAGACCGAGGGCUUGACCUA
rnacentral:rRNA from 1 species